AUGGCAAAGUGUUUUCAAGCCUGUACUUUAAAAAUAUUAGUAUUUAUUAUUAUUAUUUUUAAAAAAAAAAAAAAAAAAAA
rnacentral:ribozyme from 1 species